AACACAGUUUCAUAACUCAUGAAAAUAUUUGAAACAAUAACAUGUGAGCAUUUUACACAAUAAUAAGGAAGCCGAAAUUAUGUUUGUUUGUUUAGAACCUGACUUGAAACAAAGUUGAUGCGAAUAUUUUGAUAUUUUGUGAAAUUUGCGAUGAGGAUAUGACUUAGGAAAUGGUAUUUAAGCUCAGAGAUAAAGUGUAGCAAGUCACUAUUUACUCUGCGAAGAUAAAACACCUAUAUCACUGACAAUAUAUUGCAGACUCAAGUCGGACAUCUCAAGUGACUCCAGAAGUGACUCCAGAGGUGACUCCAGAAGUGACUCCAGAAGCUCCAAUACUCAAGCCCCCUACAGCCAAGAUGAACAGCAUUCUCCUGCUCGCCAUCCUCGUCUUAAUGUCUGUAUACGCCUUCUCAGUAUCCGAGGCCCAGUUUACCUUCGGUGGUGAUAGCGAGAGCAUCAGGAGAGUAGCCUGCCUUCAGUGCCUCCUCAGCAACCGGCACCAGCCCAGACGCCUGCAUCCUUUGUUCUGCUGCAUCUUUGAUUGUGGAUGAUUAAAAUGUGGACUCAAACUAAUGAGCUAAGAUUAAUAAUAAUCUUAACAUUUGAAGUCCUGCACACACAAGAAGACAGGACAUUGAACUGACAUGAUUAUCUGCAAAUCUAGAGGUGUGUACAUUGACAAUGAAUUUUAAUAAUCAUGAAUAGCUAUACUUCACUGAAAUGUGAGAAAAUUUUCAAAUAAAUGUAUUUUUUUUACGUAUUUUGUAUGUAUAAAUCUGCUAUAUACUGUCUGAUAAUUUGUUUAAUGAAUGUAAAUAGAGAAUAAUAAAUAAAAUCAAAAAAAUAUC
rnacentral:sRNA from 1 species